rnacentral:rRNA from 1 species
UGGGGAAUAUUGCACAAUGGAGGGAACUCUGAUGCAGCGACGCCGCGUGAACGAAGAAGGCUUUCGAGUCGUAAAGUUCUUUUAUAUGGGAAGAUAAUGACGGUACCAUAAGAAGAAGCCCCGGCUAACUACGUGCCAGCAGCCGCGGUAAUACGUAGGGGGCUAGCGUUGUCCGGAAUCACUGGGCGUAAAGGGUUCGCAGGCGGAAAUGCAAGUCAGGUGUAAAAGGCAGUAGCUUAACUACUGUAAGCAUUUGAAACUGCAUAUCUUGAGAAGAGUAGAGGUAAGUGGAAUUUUUAGUGUAGCGGUGAAAUGCGUAGAUAUUAAAAAGGAUACCGGUGGCGAAGGCGACUUACUGGGCUCAUUCUGACGCUGAGGAACGAAAGCGUGGGUAGCAAACAGG